rnacentral:sRNA from 2 species
CAAGAUGCGUGGGUUCAAAACCCACAGAGGAAAACAUUACAUCCAGAGCCAACUUCUCAGCUUCUAAAAUAAUGGGAUGUAAACUUGCCAAGUAGGUACCUUCGGGCGGACUUACUACCUGAUUUAGCUUGUUUCUGAGCUGGAAACCUGUAUUGCAUGUAUCUAAUUCUGUCUUUCACUAAUUUUCCUAUGUUUCUGUUAUAUUCUUGGCAUCAUUCAACACUCAGCAUUCCUUCUGUAUAAUCAACUCUUGCGUGUAUUUAACAUCACACAAAAACUCAUCAUAAGCACUGCUUGCAUA